rnacentral:rRNA from 1 species
UACGAAGGGGGGCUAGCGUUGUUCGGAAUUACUGGGCGUAAAGGGCGCGUAGGCGGUGUGUCAAGUCAGGCGUGAAAGCCCCGGGCUCAACCUGGGAACCGCGCUUGAGACUGGCACGCUCGAGUUCGGGAGAGGAUGGUGGAAUUCCCAGUGUAGAGGUGAAAUUCGUAGAUAUUGGGAAGAACACCGGAUGGCGAAGGCAGCCAUCUGGACCGACACUGACGCUGAGGCGCGAAAGCGUGGGGAGCAAACAGG